GUGAAAUUGAUGUCCUUCAGCCACAUUCGGCGAAGGUAUCAGAACACUAGGUUUCCCAGCAGUUAAGAUCUCAGUGCAGAUCAUUGCUCCAGCUCUAGAUACAACAAGGUCUGCAGCUGCAUACGCUAAAUCCAUGGAGUGCAAGAACGGGGUAAUGUAUAAUCGGGGAUGGAAUUUCACGAGGCUCUCCAUCUCAUCAUAUGCUAAGACCCCGGUUUGCCAUAUCAAAAACAAGUCUUUCCUUUCGUUUAACAUCUCAGAAUACAAAUGCAAAAUGGCAACAUUAAGUGCAUUAGCACCCAAUGAGCCUCCAAGAAUCAAUACCACCUUACCAUCUCCCUUCCCUACAACUGCAUUUGAAAAGAAAUGACGCCUUCCCACGGCCUUAGACGCAUAUUGCCUCAAAGACAAUCUCACUGGAUUUCCGCACACCACGCAUUUGUUCUUUUGCCAAAACCAAUCAACACUAGAAUUAAAUGCAAC
rnacentral:misc_RNA from 1 species